UGUAGCUAAGUGCCUAAUACAGAGUAGCAUGAGAUCAUAAGAUGUUACUCUGUAUUAGGCACUUAGCUACA
rnacentral:pre_miRNA from 2 species